rnacentral:pre_miRNA from 1 species
GUGAGACCAUUUUUUUACAAUUGAAAUUUCACAACAAAACACUGUGAAGGUAAAAGAAAUCCGAACUUUCACAGUGUUUGGCUGUGAAGUUUCAAGUGUAAAAAAGUGGUUUCACG